rnacentral:rRNA from 1 species
UACGUAGGGGGCUAGCGUUGUCCGGAAUCAUUGGGCGUAAAGGGCGCGUAGGCGGCAAAUUAAGUCAGCUGUGAAAUCUCCGAGCUUAACUCGGAACGGUCAGCUGAUACUGAUCUGCUAGAGUGCGGAAGGGCAAUCGGAAUUCCUGGUGUAGCGGUGAAAUGCGCAGAUAUCAGGAGGAACACCGGUGGCGAAGGCGGGUCUCUGGGCCGAUACUGACGCUGAGGAGCGGAAAGCAUGGGUAGCGAACAGG